rnacentral:rRNA from 1 species
AUUGAACGCUGGCGGCAGGCCUAACACAUGCAAGUCGAACGAGUGGCGGACGGGUGUGUAAUGUCUGGGACACUGCCUGAUGGAGGGGGAUAACUACUGGAAACUGUAGCUAAUACCGCAUACCAUCAGAUGUGCCCAGAUGGGAUUAGCUAGUAUGUGGGGUAAGGGCUCACCAAGGCGACGAUCCCUAGCUGGUCUGAGAGGAUGACCAGCCACACUGGAACUGAGACACGGUCCAGACUCCUACGGGAGGCAGCAGGGGGGAAUAUUGCACAAUGGGCGCAAGCCUGAUGCAGCCAUGCCGCGUGUAUGAAGAAGGCCUUCGGGUUGUAAAGUACUUUCAGCGGGGAGGCGUUACCCGCAGAAGAAGCACCGGCUAACUCCGUGCCAGCAGCCGCGGUAAUUC